rnacentral:rRNA from 1 species
AGAGUUUGAUCCUGGCUCAGGAUGAACGCUGACAGAAUGCUUAACACAUGCAAGUCUACUUGAAUUUGGGUUUUUUAACUUAGAUUUGGGUGGCGGACGGGUGAGUAACGCGUAAAGAACUUGCCUCACAGCUAGGGACAACAUUUGGAAACGAAUGCUAAUACCUGAUAUUAUGAUUUUAAGGCAUCUUAGAAUUAUGAAAGCUAUAAGCACUGUGAGAGAGCUUUGCGUCCCAUUAGCUAGUUGGAGAGGUAACAGCUCACCAAGGCGAUGAUGGGUAGCCGGCCUGAGAGGGUGAACGGCCACAAGGGGACUGAGACACGGCCCUUACUCCUACGGGAGGCAGCAGUGGGGAAUAUUGGACAAUGGACCGAGAGUCUGAUCCAGCAAUUCUGUGUGCACGAUGAAGUUUUUCGGAAUGUAAAGUGCUUUCAGUUGGGAAGAAAAAAAUGACGGUACCAACAGAAGAAGUGACGGCUAAAUACGUGCCAGCAGCCGCGGUAAUACGUAUGUCACGAGCGUUAUCCGGAUUUAUUGGGCGUAAAGCGCGUCUAGGUGGUUAUGUAAGUCUGAUGUGAAAAUGCAGGGCUCAACUCUGUAUUGCGUUGGAAACUGUGUAACUAGAGUACUGGAGAGGUAAGCGGAACUACAAGUGUAGAGGUGAAAUUCGUAGAUAUUUGUAGGAAUGCCGAUGGGGAAGCCAGCUUACUGGACAGAUACUGACGCUGAAGCGCGAAAGCGUGGGUAGCAAACAGGAUUAGAUACCCUGGUAGUCCACGCCGUAAACGAUGAUUACUAGGUGUUGGGGGUCGAACCUCAGCGCCCAAGCAAACGCGAUAAGUAAUCCGCCUGGGGAGUACGUACGCAAGUAUGAAACUCAAAGGAAUUGACGGGGACCCGCACAAGCGGUGGAGCAUGUGGUUUAAUUCGA